rnacentral:lncRNA from 1 species
AUUUUCUUUGCCUCUUCUUCACUAAAUUCUUGAAGAACAUACUUUCUUUUCAGUUGACUGGGGAAGUACAGUUUGGAUAAUACAUUUCUGAAAAACUUAUUUGUUAAUUGUUUGCUCUUUAAAUUUUUACCUUCAGUACAUGAUGGAUAGCAUAGGUGUAACUUAGUUUUUGGUGGCUUGUGGUAAAAUAAUGUAGUAAAUAAUGAAAGGACACGAUUGUUUUGUAUGUGUAUGCCUUUAGCAUUUGUUAUAUAAUGUUAAAAAGGUCAUAUGAGGUGGUUGUUUUCAUAUUUAAAUUUUUCAUUCACUUCCAGGGAUAGGAUUGGCAUGGAAGAUGCAGCACUCUUUACAUUUUAAAUUUAUGUUGCCACCCUAGAAGUCAAAGUCUUUUUACAUGUGACAUUAACAUGUACAUAUUUAUUUUUUCUAUUUUGUUUGUUCUGUUAUUCUAUUGUUUUACUUUUUGUUUCAGAUCAAAUGUAUAUCAAGUGUUAUCCAUCCUCAUAACACCUCCACAAAUAGAGACUGGAACUUCUGAGCACCAUCACCAUCUGCUAUGGGACUGUCAUAGCCCAGCAAUCAGAUGCAUCAGAACAACAAAGCACAACUGUGGUGGCCCAGGCACCUUCAGCAACAAAGAUUUAACAACACUGUCAGUCAGGAGCAUAUUUAACAGGAGCCACACUCAACUGGCUUGAUGGU